rnacentral:rRNA from 1 species
GCCUAGAGAGAAGCUUGCGGCUGAUUAGCUUGUUGGUGAGGUAAUGGCUUACCAAGGCGACGAUCAGUAUCUGGUUUGAGAGGACGAUCAGACACACUGGAACUGAGACACGGUCCAGACUCCUACGGGAGGCAGCAGUGGGGAAUUUUCCGCAAUGGGCGAAAGCCUGACGGAGCAAUCUCGCGUGAGGGAUGACUGCCUAUGGGUUGUAAACCUCUUUUUUCAGGGAGGAAUCAAUGACGUGUACCUGAAGAAUAAGCAUCGGCUAACUCCGUGCCAGCAGCCGCGGUAAGACGGAGGAUGCAAGUGUUAUCCGGAAUCACUGGGCGUAAAGCGUCUGUAGGUGGUUUAAUAAGUCAACUGUUAAAUCUUGAAGCUCAACUUCAAAAUCGGAGUCGAAACUAUUAGACUAGAGUAUAGUAGGGGUAAAGGGAAUUUCCAGUGGAGCGGUGAAAUGCGUAGAGAUUG